AGCGAACGCUGGCGGCAGGCUUAACACAUGCAAGUCGAACGGGCGUAGCAAUACGUCAGUGGCAGACGGGUGAGUAACGCGUGGGAACGUGCCUUUUGGUUCGGAACAACUGAGGGAAACUUCAGCUAAUACCGGAUAAGCCCUUACGGGGAAAGAUUAUCGCCAAAGAUCGGCCCGCGUCUGAUUAGCUAGUUGGUGAGGUAAUGGCUCACCAAGGCGACGAUCAGUAGCGGUCUGAGAGGAUGAUCAGCCACACUGGGACUGAGACACGGCCCAGACUCCUACGGGAGGCAGCAGUGGGGAAUAUUGGACAAUGGGCGCAAGCCUGAUCCAGCAAUGCCGCGUGGAUGAAGAAGGUUUUCGGAUUGUAAAGUCC
rnacentral:rRNA from 1 species